rnacentral:rRNA from 1 species
UACGUAGGGUGCAAGCGUUGUCCGGAAUUAUUGGGCGUAAAGAGCUCGUAGGCGGUUUGUCGCGUCGAAUGUGAAAACCCGGGGCUCAACCCCGGGCCUGCAUUCGAUACGGGCAGACUAGAGUUCGGUAGGGGAGUCUGGAAUUCCUGGUGUAGGCGGUGAAAUGCGCAGAUAUCAGGAGGAACACCGGUGGCGAAGGCGGUUCUCUGGGCCUGUACUGACGCUGAGGAGCGAAAGCGUGGGGAGCGAACAGG